rnacentral:rRNA from 1 species
GAUGAACGCUGACAGAAGGCUUAACACAGAAUAACUGAUUGGGUGGCGGACGGGUGAGUAACGCGUAUAUAACUUGCCUCAUAGGUAGGGACAACAUUUGGAAACGAAUGCUAAUACCUCAUACUGUGAGAGAGCUUCGCGUCACAUUAGCUAGUUGGAGAGGUAACGGCUCACCAAGGGGAGGAUAGGUAGCCGGCCUGAAAGGGUGAUCGGCCAAGAGGAGGAUGAGACACGGCGCUGGCUCCUACGGGAGGCAGGAGUGGGGAAUAUUAAACAAAGGACCAAAGUCUAAGCCAGCAUUUAUGUGUGCAAGAAGAAGAUUUCGGAAUGAAAAGUUAUUUCAGUUAGGAAGCGGUACCAACAGAAGAAGUGCCGACUAAAUACGUGCCAGCACCGCGGUAAUAC